rnacentral:misc_RNA from 1 species
AACCAUAGAAACCUGCGGAGUACCUGCGGAAGGAUCAUUAACAAUUGUCCACAAUAAAUGGAUAAUUUUAUCCAUAUCCACCUUGUGUGAAUCAAUUGAAGUGUUUGUUGGCAGGUUAACACUCUCGAUUACGAGAGCUUGUGUGAGCCAUGUGCUCGGCCUGCCAAUUUUAUUUGUUUAAACAUGUCUAAAUAAAAUAGCCUGAAAUAUUAAACUUUUAUAAUAAAUACAACUUUCAAC